AUUGAACGCUGGCGGAAUGCUUUAUACAUGCAAGUCGAACGGCAGCACGGACUUCGGUCUGGUGGCGAGUGGCGAACGGGUGAGUAAUGUAUCGGAACGUGCUCAGUCGUGGGGGAUAACGUAGUGAAAAUUACGCUAAUACCGCAUACGAUCUAUGGAUGAAAGCGGGGGAUCGCAAGACCUGCCGCGAUUGGAGCGGCCGAUAUCAGAUUAGUUAGUUGGUGGGGUAAAGGCCCACCAAGCCAACGAUCUGUAGCUGGUCUGAGAGGACGACCAGCCACACCGGAACUGAGACCCGGUCCAGACUCCUACGGGAGGCAGCAGUGGGGAAUUUUGGACAAUGGGCGAAAGCCUAAUCCAGCCAUUCCGCGUUCAGGAUGAAGGCCCUCGGGUUGUAAACUGCUUUUGUACAGAACGAAAAGGUUUCUACUAAUACUAGGAGCUCAUGACGGUACUGUAAGAAUAAGCACCGGCUAACUACGUGCCAGCCGCCGCCGUAA
rnacentral:rRNA from 1 species